UCACUAGCUAGUAUCUCAAACUAUUAUAAUUUGCCUGGCUUGAAAAUACGUUUGUGGUGAUGUUUUGUGGAUUCACUUGACACUUGCUUCUGGACAAGUUUUCCACAGCAGUUCUCUAAAACUAUCGCGAGCAAGUAGUUAGUAGAAGAGUGAAUGAAGAAGAGUGAAUGAAGAUGCCCCCUCAGUUGGCCUAAAACAAGCACAACGCGAUUGAGACGUCAACCCGUACGCUCUGCUGCCUGGUCUUUCUUACCAAGUAAAAUAUUUCACUUUGCGGUCUGUUUUUAACGCACACUUAAAAACGGGGACAUUUUCAGGGACAGCUCCAGCCGGGGACAGGCCACCAAAAACGGGGACCUUCCCUGGAAAACGGGGACGUCUGGUCACCCUAAUCAAACUUCAAAUUAUUAGAAUAGUACGCAACGCAGAACAGAACAACCAGGUUAAGGGUCAAUGGCCGAAGCCCGCGAACAGGAAUAUUCCAAGUUCAGACAGAAGGGGGGAGUCAGAUCGCUAUGAUCGCCAGGAACUUUACUUUUGGUGUCUAAUUUUAAUUGUUGCGCUACUUGUGCUGCCUGUUGAUGUUAAGUAGGCAGCUACAGUAGCUGAAUAAUGUUAACAUCUUCGGGUUUUAUUUAAUUAAAUGUAUUUGAUUUAAUCUGGGUGCCUACUUCACCUACUAACACCCUAGUACUAUCUGUAGCUCCCAUUCUCCUCAGCCCGAGAAAACACAGAGUGAAGGAUCGGCAUAAAAGCCAAGAAGACUGCCGUGGUGUCGUUCUUCAUUUCUUGGAUCUCCUGUGAUAGUAGCUGGGUGAACAGGCCAUGGCUCGGGUGGCUGAGGUCCUUCCUUCCUGUGACACCGAGCGCUGUGGAUGCCUGGAGGGCAGGCACUGUACCCCGGUGAUGUGUUGGGCUGAGCGCACCACCCUCUGGAGAGCCCUGCGGUUGCGGACGGUGCAGUUACCAUACCAGGCGGAGAUACAGCCUGACAGGAUGCUCUCAAUGGUGCAUCUGUAGAUGUUUAUGGGGGUCUUAAGGGCCAAGCUGAAUUUCUUCAGCCACCCAAGGUUGAAGAGGUGUUGUCUGUGUGGAUAGACCAUUUCAGGUUGUCGAGGAACAUGAAGCUUUUCACCCUCUCCCCUGUGGCCCUGUCAAUGUGGAUGGAGGCGUGCCCCCUCUGCUAUCUCCUGAAGUCCAUGAUCAGCGCCUUCAUUUUGUUGACAUUGUGGGAGAGGUUAUUUUUCUGGCACCACUCCGCCAGGGUCCUCACCUCCUCCAUGUAGGCUGUCUCGUCAUUUUUGUUGUUGAUAA